rnacentral:ncRNA from 2 species
AUAAUCAUAAAAAACAUUACUCGUAUAUACUCGGUAAUAUGGUCUGAGUGUUUCUACCUGGUUCCCAUUAAGAACUAGACUACGGGUUAAAGUAUUCGGCUG